rnacentral:sRNA from 1 species
UUUGAGAGGUCCCCAAAUGAUGCGAAGCAUCAUUUUUGUCAUGGGACCGACGAACUGCCGCUGAAGCGUAGCUGAGGGGGCGAGCACCAUA